CUCCCCGCGCUCUCCCCCCGCUCUCCCCGCGCUCCCUCUCCGCGCUCCCUCUCCGCUCUCCCCGCGCUCUCCCCCCGCUCUCCCCGCGCUCCCUCUCCGCUCUCCCCGCGCUCUCCCCCCGCUCUCCCCGCGCUCCCUCUCCGCUCUCCCCGCGCUCUCCCCCCGCUCUCCCCGCGCUCCCUCUCCGCUCUCCCCGCGCUCUCCCCCCGCUCUCCCCGCGCUCCCUCUCCGCUCUCCCCGCGCUCUCCCCCCGCUCUCCCCGCGCUCCCUCUCCGCUCUCCCCGCGCUCUCCCUCCGGCUCCGGGGCGCUGCUUACGCCUGUUUCCUGCCGGGGGCCGAUUAUGACGCUGGAGCCUGGCGGCGGCUGUCAAAGCCUGGGCCCUGACCCCCGCCCCAUUCUGAUCAAUGCAAACCCCCCGGCGGCUGUUGUUCUAUCCCAGCUCCAUCUCCUCCGACCAAAAUGAGCUCCCCCACAAACCCAGAACCAAGGAGGUUCCCCAUCGAGGCAGGCGAUUCCAAGGGAUCCGUGUCGAGGCCAGUAAACCCGGUUCCCGAGCUCCCAAACCACCGCUCUGCCAGACAGCUGAGAAGAUGUCCAGGUAGUCACUGCUUGACUAUUCCUCAUGUUUCCAUCGAUGUUUAUAUUGCAAUGGACAGGAACCCUCCAGCACGGGCAACGUAACCUGCCACGAAAGUAUUAGAAUAAAUGUCAGAAUAUGGGAGCAGGUAGUGGAAGACUAGGGUAUUGUGGUGGCUGCCUAAGAAAAUGUCUCUGUACAAUGCAAUAAAAAUAGUCUUCAAAUACCACUCAUGCACUGAAGCCAUCUUUUAAAAUUCUUAUUGACUUCAGUUUGGCUCAGUUCCAACCCCCAAUACUUAAAAUAAUGACUUACCUCUCAUUUGACUUUUAUCUAAAUGACCUAAUUCAAAUUUCUAGAAGAAUUUCAUUCAACUCAACCUGUCGGCAAGAAAGACUUGGUGGAAAUAUUGCAGCCACAUUUUGUUUUGGCAAUGUAAUGGAUUGGGAUAAAUCAGAGCUCUCCAACUCCAUAAUAAACAUUUGUGACCAAACUA